rnacentral:lncRNA from 1 species
ACACAAGAGGGAGUAUAUUAAUGAGAUAACUACAUUAAUUUAUACAAAGAAUAGGGGAGAAAAUAAAUAGUUUCUCUCCACUACAUUCCAAACAAUGUAGCAACAAUAUCUAUUGUAAACUACCAUAAAUACUAUAGAGAGCGCCGGCUACAUUUAAUGCUCUCAACAGAUACCAUAUAUAACAAUCUUCUUGGCUUAUUCCUACCCUCAGGGAAGUCCCUAUGAUACCCGGCAGGAUUAGUAUUACCGCCCAGCGGCCCCGGGACCAAUCGAGCUCAUCUCAAGUCUCCUCCUAGCACGAAGGAGAAGACUAGACCCGUCUCACAACGAAGUCAUCCCUGGGUCAGCCAAGACUUCCGUCCCAGUACCAUAUCCUCCGAAACUCAGCCCCUGCGGUGUCUUUGUAUCGGGAAUUGAGGCUCCACCCUUCCACACCUAUAGUCCCUCACCUCUGAGCGCCCCAUGGGCUUCGGCGCGGCCAAGACUCAUAGUUUGGAUUCUUUCCACCAAGUAGGAUGAGGGUCGAUUAGAACCCUCACAAUAGCCCUCACGCUUAAAACAGUUGUUCAAAGCCACAUGGAAAUCUUUCAUACACAACUUCGCUGCCCAAUUGAUUUUGUGAUUGCCGCGAAAUUCCCACGGUCAAGUCUUGUGCUUCCUUGUGCUUGCUGCCGUCCAACGCUCCAAGAAUCUACAAAGAGAUAACAACCGUUAACGCUGCACGAAUAUGAGGCGGCUCCGACCGAUUAUCUACAAUUUGCACAAUCUUCAACUCGAUUCCCUUUUCGCAAACCUAUCGAAUUAGUAUCCAAACGCGGACGGAUUAUUCAGUCUCAACUCCGCGUCUUGCAACUAUCUGUAGCACCUCAUCACGACUGAGUCUAUUGGAUCAUAAACUGGAGUUGACUGAGUCUCACAUCAAAUACAUCAACCGAGUGUAAAACUCCACAACGCCUUCGACAUCAUCAGGAAUGUGC